GAGAAAGGCUUAGACCAGUCUCUCCGUUCACCGGCAACCGAAAAAAAGAAGCCGACAAACCAAUUUUCUGGUUUCUCUCUCCUCCGCAUCUCCGGCGUUUUCCCGGCGAUGUUUCUUUCUCUUACCGUUUCCAUUUUCUUAAUUAUUUGUAUGAAAUUGAUGCAAAAUGAAAUGAGAAAUUCUCGCGAUCUUUCAAUUAGGCGUUUUUUUUCCUUCGUCUGAUUCAAGUUUGUUCGGACAAUUUGAGUGUAGGAGGCGUCGAGGACGAACUUGAAGCUAUUUUUACUGGAAGUAUUGAGGACGGAUUUGAAGCAAAUUUCACAGCAUCGAUUACGUGAACUCUCUGGUUUUGCGAGCAGUUGACUGUUGCAUUUUGUUCAGUGGGCGACAAUGGUUUCGUUUGAGAUGAAUGACAGAAAAAUGGCUUUUGGCCUACAUUGUCAGUUUUUGUCCAGAGGAUAUUCCAGCAGCCAUAUAUCAGAUUGUACUUUCCAUUUCCACCUCCCACGAAUUCCUGAACGGUUGACAAUUCAACCUCAACAUCUAGUAUAGACUAAAGAGGAGAGAGAGAAUAUACUCCGUAAAUAACAAUGGCGUGAUUUGUCUCAAGGUCUUUCCUCAACGCUACCGGAUCUCCUUCCAUCCAACGUUACACCGCCUCCCUUCGCCGCUGCUCCCAAUUUCCGUCUGCAAUUCUCACCGCCACUAUUUCACGAACCCUAGCAACCUUGACGUAUUGGGAUGGGCUUUAUUGCUAAAACCGAUGCCAAGAAGUUUCGCAGGGAUACAAAAGCUGGCAGCCAAAGAGAAAGUGCAAAAUUAAGAAUGUCUGUCAGAUUCUAUGCGGGAAUCACCAAACUCAUGUUCUGGUUUUGGAUCUUCAGUGCCUGGAAGCAUGAUUCUUAGAAAAUUUAAAUCAUGAGCAGUUGAUGCCAAGGCUUGUAUUUGUGCUUUAACGAGCAGAACAAAAGAACUCUUCUUAGGUCACAUAGCGAGUGAAAGAAACGCCAGUGAAGGGGGACAUGGCGAGUUCUGCUGUCAAAAGUUGAGUAUUAUUAUUUUGUUUAUAAUAGACUUGUAUAUUUUAGAAAUUAUGGUGUUACUCCUUAAAGUUUUGAAUAUGUUUCUGAUACAAAGCUGUAAUUGGCAGGUAAAUGUCGUUAAAGGUCUGAAGAUGUACGAAAAAAUAUUUACUGAUCAAGAGCUUUCUGAAUGAUUUCGUGAAUGAGCUCCCAGUUGCUGGACAAAAUGGAGAACUCUUAGGUGAAACAUACAUUGUGUUCAACAAACAGAUGAAGGCUAACUAAAGGGAGCAGAUUUAGCUUGGUGUUCCAAUAUUUGGACAAAUAAAAGAUGACACAACCCCUCAGCAGCAAAAGACUUUUCAUCAUAGCCUUAUUGAUCAUCUCGUUAUGUGGCAAGUAUUAACAGAGAAUAGAAAACCUAAUGGUCACAUCAUAACUUUUUUGAUGAGGUAAAUUUUCUCAAUUUUUUUCGCAUAUGUUCCAGAUACACUGUGGUACACAAUGACUGAAAUUAUAUCUCAAAAGAAUUGGUCAUUGUUCUUAAUAUAUCUGCUUUUUAGGGAGAGUAUCUGGGGGAGGUUUAAUUUCUUUCAUUGUGUCAUUUUUAGUCGUAAGACUGAAUAUUUAACAAUAAUGUAAAUACAAUUUUCUUUUUGACGAGUCUGUGACUAGGAUAGAAUGAUCGUAAAGAGAACCUUGACCUUUUGUGGUACUAGAUACCAGAUAACAUGCAUAUGAGGUGUAAGGAAAAAAAUGUUCACGAGGAGUAGAGUUUUCAUAGGGGGGAAGGGUGAUUUGGCUUUUUAACGUUUCCUCCUUCACUGAACUCCUUAACUGAGAACAAGUUGUAACGUUGCCUCUUAUUUAUACCCCUUAAACUUUCUUAUUGUCUAUGGCUUUGGAUGUUUGCUCCCUCUUGAUAGGUGGGUUCGUGAGGGGAUUAUUGAAGAGAAACUUGCAACGGACUUGAAUUCUUUUCAACUGGAGAACAAUGAAAGCCUUCGAGUCGGACAAACAAAGCUUUCACAAUUGUCAUUUUGUAGCGUGGAUCAAGAAAUGCAAUAUUAGAAAACUUUGCAAGUACAUAUCAUCACAGUACUCGUUCAAGACGUUGAGCAUUUUACUGUGUCAUUAGACUCAAAAAUACAUUAGAAAUGGAAGACUCUAGCUUAGCUUCUUCUUAUAGUUCAUUAGCACUGAAGUUGGAAUUUUUAAGUAAUUUCUAUUGUUGGGUUGUGGAUAAA